AUACACAUUUUAAUGCUAUAAAAGUGUGCACACAUUGAGAGAAAUAAACAACAGAUGUUCAUAUUAACAACUUCUUUAACUUGAGCAAACGCUGCUAAUACACAUAUACAUUUGUUAAUAAAAUGAAAACAUGCAUGUUUUAAAGCUAGUGAAUAAAAGGAAACGAUCCGCCCGCAUGCCUCUGCUCAAUGACGUGCCUGGAUCAGCUGUGAUCUGCGUCUCGGGCCGAUGACGUCACUUCCACACUCAAAAAAAUGGUUUUGUGCCACUGUCCGUUUUAUUCAGAUAUUUUUUGUUAAAACAACACAAAUAUAUUUCAUUUUCAGCCAAAACACUAUUGUAUUGUGUUUAAUUAACUUAAACUGUUUAAUGUUCCAUUUUACUUAAUUAUCAAUUGUUAAACUAACGUAAAGGGUUUAAUUUCGCCAUUCAAAAAAAAACCGGAUAUGACGAUUUCAAACGCCUUUGAUGAAGACGGCGCGAAGGCUGUGCAUCAUGGCGUCUAGAAAUACCAGUCAGCAUGCAUUUGCUCACUGUUUUCUUACUUCAUCGCUGCCUGAUGAAGGAAUGUCACAACUUGACUGACGGAGGAGAAAACAGUUUUGGCAAAAAUUUGUGCAGAAUUUGAGACGGACAGAAUUAUGAUAGGCCCAUUUGUGUCAACAGUCUUUGCCAAAAUGGAUCCACACUGCAAAACUUAUGAAGAUGUUUGUAAAUCGAAGAAGAGUCCUUGGACAAAGAAUUAAACCCUCUUGGUGCCCAUUACACAGACUAAUUACAUUGAAGUACCCGAUUGAAGACCCUAGCAGUCUUAUUAUGGAGUAUAUGGAUACAGAUGUUGCCAGCACUCAGGAGGUGAUCCAGAAGACUCAUGGGAAUCUGAUAUGUCAUUAGAUUUGAAGGUGCAGACAUUGAAGACAGCCCAGCAGAUGUUGAAGGGUUGGAAGAUAAAGUUCUUCAGGACCCUAGCAGUAUACCCCAUGCAAAACCAUGUUUCUGGGACUGAUAUAUGGACUGAACUUGAGCAACCCUCCUGACCUCAGGUACACAUUUGGAGUGCUGCAGAAGUUAUUUCUGGAGCCAGUUCCUGUUCCUGGAAUAAGGUUUGAUUGGUUGCCUUUAAAUGCCAAUUAGAAAAUGACAGUAGUUUGAUAUUUCUGCUAUUUUGUGUAAUGUGGUUUCAACUGUAUUUAACUGUACGUUUUGCUCUUGUUUAACAAAUACACUUGAUCAUUUGUGA